GGGCUGGGGUUCCGGCUGGCCACCUCUCGCCACCCUGUCCUCCCAUCAAAAGCACGGCUUCCCUCUGGGGAAAGCCCUGGUGUUGUCUGGCGAUGGGAGUCAUACCCCCAUUUGGUUUUAGGAUUCACCAGUUCAGCAUUUUAAACCCCAAAGGACGAAGCGUGUUUGUUCCUCUUCGCUGCCCCCGCCCCCUGUGUUAGUAAAGAUUCAUUUGCCUUGAGUGGCAUCAUUCCAGGGGUUUGGGGUGCUAACUAUAGCUCCCUUUUUUUCUCUUUUGAAAGGCUGCAGACGUCAUACACGGUACGCUUGCAUGAUGGACGCCUCCGAGCCGGCCUAGAGAGAUUGUCGCGGGGGCUGUGGGGACGCACGGAGAUUAGGUGCCCGCCUCAGGUGUCACGACGCUAUUCAGCCAGGUGCGAACCGACUGGCCUCUCCUCCGGCCCUGCGCCGCGGGCGCCCCCUGGAGGCGGUCGGGGGAGCGGGGAUCGGCGCGCCUCCCGCAGCCCAGGGGUCCCCGCCCCUCUUCUUUUCGGUGCCCCUCAGGAUCCCGCAGAGAUUCCCAGCAGCCUCUCAAAUCGCAAUAAAGUUUCCCUACUUCAGAGUCAGUUGCUGUUCUCUCACGUCCACAUCACCAUUUACACCUGGCCAAUUUCCUCUGCUCCAUCCAGACAAAUGGCUUCUUGGCCCCCACUGGGUCACCCCCCUCACUCCUCCAGUUCGGCUCCUUUCUCCAAGGUCCUUUGGUUGGUCUUGCCCCUCAGGCCCUGGUUUAGGCCGGAUCCGGGGUCCCUCCCCACACCAAGGCUUCCCGCCGCCUCCCCAUUCUGGAGAGUCAAGAAUGGAGCCAAGUUUGGUCCCUUUCCUUCCUUAGUGCUGUAUGCACACUUCAGGUAUUAUGCUUUUCCUGUUUACCAGGGCUGCCAGAUCUGGAAGUGAUGUGUGAAUAAAGGCAGCUUUUUUUUCUGCCCCAGAAGUUGCCUUUUGACUAGGAAGUAUUGUGUCCUGGGAGUGCAGGCCUGGGAAGUUGAUGGAAACUUCAACUACAUUAGCCUCAGCUGUGAGAAUAAAGAGACACUAGACAGAGCAUCAAGAGUCCCAGGGGAAGGAGAAGGGAGAGGGAGGACCAGGAAGGGUUACAAGAACCAGGGGCCCCAUGUUUGCAGACCUGGGGUGGAGGAAUCCUGCCUCUGACAUCUGUGACCUCUGGGACUGUGACCUCAAGCAAUUCAGGCUGCUUCACUUCUUGAGCCUCAGUUCCCUCUUCUGUAAAAGGGGAAUACUACUACCUACCUCAUAGGGUUGUGGUGAAGAUUAUUAACUCAUGUUAUGAAGUGCCCUCCUGGCAAAUAGCAAAGGCUAAUAUAUGACAGCUGUUCACGUGAUCCAAUCUAAGCCACUGCUCUAAUCUUUCACCUUGCUGAUUACAGACAUCUAAAAGUACCAGCUUUUCUCACUGUGGGAUUAGAAGAAAGUUCCCUGAGUUACUAGUAUUCUCCUUCAUUUUAUGGGGCUACAAUGUCCUCUCCUCAUUAGAAAGGAAGAGAGGGUAAAUGGCUUAUUUUCUUCUCCUGGGACUCUUUUUUUUUUUUUUUUAAUAUUUAUUUAUUUUUAGAGAGAGCACAGGCAUUAGCACGCAGGGGGAGGAGCAAAGGGAGAGGAGAAAGACAAUCCCAAGCAGGUUCCGUGCUGCCAGCUCAGAGCCCCACUAGGGGUUCCAUCUCACAAACCGUGAGAUCACAAGCUGAGCUGAAAUCAAGAGUCAGAUGCUUAACUUGUGAGCCAUCCGGCACUCCUCUCCUAGGAGUCUGGAGGAGAGCGUUUCAUGAUGUAGCCAGUCACUGGGGAUAAAUAAACAGGGUAAUGUGGGGGCUUGUCAGCUUCCUCCCCUAUUCAAGGGGAAUCUCACACAGGCCCCUUCCGUCAAGAAACAUUGCUGUAGCAUCUUGUCGGAACAGACCUGUGCACGUCAGCAUGCCCAUCUCUGGUUUUGGUGGAAGUCAGCAGGUUUGUAAAGAUUUCUGAAUGGGAGACUGUGUCAACCAUCCCUUGGACUAAAACCCAAGCCAGACAUUCCUUCGCCUCUAAAUACUUCUUGCUACCGAAAAUGUAAAAACAGUCUUAUCUAAAUGCCUUGUUUUGUUGUGUAGAGAUGGUCAUGUGCUGUUAAAGAACAACUACCCCUGAGGCACCUGGGUGGCUCAGUCAGUUAAGGGUCCCACUUUGGCUCAGGUCGUGAUCUCAUGGUUCGUGAGUUCGAGCUCCCAUCGGGCUCUGUGCUGACAGCUCAGAGCCUGGAGCCUGUUUCAGAUUCUGUGUCUCCCUCUCUCUCUGCCCCUCCCCUGCUCACGCUCUCUCUCUCUCUCAAAAGUAAACGUUAAAAAUAAAAUAAUGACUACCCUUAUCUUUUUUUCUUCCUAUUUUAUUGAGAUGCGAUUGAUACAUAACAUUGUGUUAGCUUAAGGUGUGUACUACCCUCGUGUUGAGUUUGAAAUAUUAACACGUCGGCACCUUGCAUUUGAAUAAUGUUGUCUAUGUUUUUAUCUUACUGAUACUAUGGGGUUGACAAGCACAUACCUUUCACUCUGUAGAUGAGGAAACUGAGACACAGAAAGAGGAAACUGAUCAUCCGCUUGUUCCCAGUCCUGGUCCAGUAUGCCCACAGGCAUCUGAAGGUCUCUGAAGGUCUCACCAGCCUCUGUGGUUGGUCACCUCGUCCUUCCAUGGGCAGAGUGAGUGGACUCGGAUUCCCGCUGUGAUCCUGUCUGGAAGGAGACAAACCCUUCAUCCAGCUCAGGGCCAGGAGUGCAUUGCAGCGCUGAGGACCAUAUGAGACAGUGAACAGGAGAGGCCCAGACUUGCUGCUCUUGCCUCAGUACCCCCCCCACGGUGGUCCUGGGCCCGCGGCAGAGAACUGAGCUCGUCUGGUAGUAAAUACUGUGAAUUGGCCGAUGCGGCUAGCCAUCCUCUAGUACGAAUGACUCAGUUUAUUAAUGCUCUGCACAAGAUGGCUCCUUCACUUGCCAGCAGCCUUAAGCAGUAUUUCAUUAAAACUGGCUUAAUUAUUUUUAAAAGACGGCCCAAUUAAAAGCUAUACAUACUUUGUAUGUGUGUGUUUAUAUAUAGAGCUGUAUAUAUAAUAUAUAUUUCUAAGCCUGUGUAUGUGUUAUAUAUAUAUAUAUAUAUAUAUAUAUAUAUACUUAGCAAUUUAAUUAUAUGGCAUAAAUUGUUGGAAAAAUACCCGGGAGCUGGCCCCCUUUCUGUUGCUAGAUUCAGACUAGAGGCCACCCUGUGAGGGGGUGGCGUUGGUGGCUUCUCAAUGACUCCACAGUGGAAGUCCCAGCUGCGCAGAGAGCCCUGCCCCAGCGUCAGGGCCCCAAAGCUUUGGGAGAGGCAGGUUCUGACCUCCGCUCUCCUCUUGGGAUGCUCCUUUCCUGUCCCAACAGCACAGAGGGGCUUGAGCUGGGGAAUGCUGGGGGAAGGUGUCCUUGCCAAAAGAGACAUGGAGUUGGGGCUUUUGUUUCUGGAGCUGGCUGUCGAGCUCUCCUAAUGAGCAAAUAUGUUCUCUUUAAGGAAACAAACAAACAAAGCAAAAACACUAAUUCAUCUGGAUUUUAUUCAUUUGUUUUAAAUACAAACAAACAAAAGGAGAGGGGAGAAGUGGUUAUUUCUGCACCAACUAUUUCAAAUGCAAGUUCCUCUGUCGCUCGGGGUGUUUGGAUGGUGCUUGUCACCAUAGGACCCACAGGGCUAGUUCCAGCCGUUAUUCGGUAAGGCUUUUUUUCUUUCCAAAAUUCCCAGCGUUCCUUUAAGGCCCAUUUAGCUGCGGGUUUUGUUUAUUCUCCCGGCAAUCAGCAUUUAAAAUAAGACAAACAAGCAUUUUUUCCUGGGCUGUGAAUCCCUGCUGGCCUGCCUCCACCCGCACACCUGAAGCCAAUGUGUCCAAUUGAAUUUCUUCGUAACCCGCAUCCCCUUCGGAGACCUGCCCCCUCCGUAUACCAACGUGGAAAUAGAGAACUUAAGCAGGGCAAAUGUAAUUUUAAGAAUUGCUAAUGAUGCUGGAAAUCUGCAAUGCAAUUAGCAUCAUUGGAUUUGUCGCUCCUCCGCUCCUCCGAAGGCACGGUCCUCGUCAUACCGCUGUGGCAGCGGCGCCUCCGCGUGGGCCUGGGCGCCCCGGGUAUGCUGGCAGCGCUUAUGCACCAAAAUAUGAACAUUUGGUUAGGCUUCCUCUCUUUCUCUCUCUCAGCAACUGACUUCUUUGUCUCCUUCCUUGGUUGCAGGGGGAUGGAUUGUUUUCCAUUGGUUAUAUCCUUAGCAUUCAGUCCUCAGGGGACUCACUCACUCUGUUUUCUAAGUAAGUGGGACCCCCUCUUUGUGACCUCAUUUUGCCGUCUUGGAUUUUAGGGCUUCCCUUCACCAGCGUUCCCCCUAUGCUGGAACCCCAGUAAUUCUUGGUGCCUCAGCAGUGGUGAAAGCCACCCCCCCCCCCCCCCCCCCAUUACUCACCCUACGUUAUACUUUCCUUUCUAUACUUUCCUUUCUCUCUCUCUCUUUUAUCUUCUCUAACUUCCAUUUCUUUACUACCCUCUAUGGCUCAGAAGUAGUAUGAAGGAGAGUUAAAAAUAGGGAGAUGGAGGGAGCCAGAGGGAGAGAGAGAGUGAGAAAGCAGAAAAAGAGAAAACGAAUUAUUGGAUUCAAAAUAAACCUUUAUUUUUUCAUAGGCGAAUUAUUUUUGCUCCUUGAAAAAACUAACAUGGGCCAGGCACGGAAAACCAUGUGAUAGCUGGGUAAGCCGUUGCAGAAUCCAGAAGAUGAUCUUAAGGUGUCUGUUCAGUUUAGCAAAGGUUUCUACUCUGGGGAUCCUCUUUCAGAUCCAGGGGCCCAAAUCAGAAGCUUGUAGAGGGGAGCUAUUCUUCCAAGAUUCCAGAUGUGUCUGCGAGACAACACGUUAUGGGGCAAAUUGAUUUCACCCUUGGGAAACUGGAGAUUUUUCAAAGUUAUGUCUGCAAAGCCAGCUAAUGCAUUUCCCCAUUAGUGCAUUAAAGUGUGCCCUUAUUAAUUCAAACAUAAAGGCAACAAAAUAAGCUGUUAAAUUUAAAAUAUAAUACAUAUAUAAUGAGGAGAAUGUGUGAAAGCCUUAUUCAAAUGAAAAUACAGGAGUGUUUGAACUACUGAGGUAUCUUUUGUAUUGAAUUAUGAGCAUAUGUAAUAGAUUUAAUUAUUAAUUUCCCCAUUGUUCUAUGCACACAGACAGGGUUCAAGGCACAGUCAUUCUCUGGCUUUCAUAGAUCUAAUUUGUAUAAUUAUUGCCUGAAUAAAGAAUUGCUCCAA
rnacentral:lncRNA from 1 species